CCUACGGGAGGCAGCAGUGGGGGAUAUUGCACAAUGGGGGCAACCCUGAUGCAGCGACGCCGCGUGUGGGAUGACGGUCCUCUGGAUUGUAAACCACUGUCCCCAGGGACGAACAUGCCGGUACCUGGGGAGGACGCUCCGGCUAACUACGUGCCAGCAGCCGCGGUAAUACGUAGGGAGCGAGCGUUGUCCGGAAUUACUGGGUGUAAAGGGAGCGUAGGCGGGGAUGCAAGUUGGGGGUAAAAACUACGGGCUCAACUGGUAGUCGCACUCGAAACUGCAGCUCUUGAGUGAAGUAGAGGCAGGCGGAAUGCGUAGUGUAGCGGUGAAAUGCGUAGAUAUUAGGAGGAACACCAGUGGCGAAGGCGGCCUGCUGGGCUUUUACUGACGCUGAGGCUCGAAAGUGUGGGGAGCAAACAGGAUUAGAUACCCUUGUAGUC
rnacentral:rRNA from 1 species